AGGAACAGAGGCGGCGGGGAUGAUGAGAGGUGACGAGAGGACUGGGUGGCGGGGAUGACACCUUGUCCCCCUCCGUCUCCCCUGGGCCUCUGUCCACCCCACCCACAGCGCCGGAGGGCAUUCAGCCCCCGUGGAGGACCCUGCAGAGGUCCCGGGGGGAGCGGCCGUCCCCAGCUUCAUGUGCAGGGGGUCCCCAGCCCAGGCCCGGGGCCCGUGAGCCCAGCUGCAGCUGGGGCCGUCCCAGAGGGCGUGAGGGUAAACCGGGCCCUGGUGGCACGGGACAGGUGUCCUCCUGAGAAGAGCAGCUGGGGACGCAGUCACACGCAGAGGGGCGGCCGCGGGAGGGCACGGGAGGAGACGCCGCCCGCAAGCCCAGGGCAGAGUCCUCGGGAGCGGCCCGCCCUGCCUCGCGGGACCCGCCAGGGCUUGCCUCCUGGGGCUGGGGCUGCUGCCACUGGGGGGGGGGGGGAAGCAGGGCGGGGCAGGGGGCAGGGCAGAGGGACCCUUGGCAGCUGAGCUGGCUGAGACUGGCUCCCAGGCCCACACCCACAGAGGGGGCAUCGGGCGGGACAGGCACGUGGCCCCUGCAGGAGGACCUCCUGGACAGACAGGAACUGCGGUCAGCUGCUGGCUGAGCUGGGACGAUGUGUGUGUGCGUGUCCACGCAUGUGCAUGCGCCAUGCUGGCUGUGGGUGCAUGUGCGCAAGCGUGUGGGUGCGUAUAGAGGAAGCCAGGCCUGGUGUGUGUGGCCUCCCCCCAGCGGCCCCGCACUGCUCAGGAAGACGGGGGCACCCUCUGCGCACAGCCCCUUGUCAAACAGGAAGGUGGCCUCAGCCGGCGUGGCCACCUGGGAGCCCCCAGGAGGGCCUGAGGGCGUGGCAGAUGGCCCAGACUCCCCAUCAUUCACCACCUCGACUUGGCUCACGGAGGGGCCAGGGGCCAGAAGCCGGAGCCUGGUGCGGCCAAGGUGAGCCCAACCUGGGAACGGCCUCGCUGAACCACUCGGCGCGUGGGGGAGCAGCCCAAGGUCAAGCUCAGGGGUGGGGGUGGGGGUGGAGGAGGAGAGGGAGGGAGAGGGAGAGGCAGAGGCGGGGGGGGGGGAGGAAGGGGGAUGGCCUAGCCCGGCCAGGGGUCCGGGGGAGGAAGCAGAACGGGGUGGCCGGGGGCAGAGGCCGAGGGGUGGCUGGAUGGGGGUGUGGUGGGGACGUGUGACAGCCGGGGCACUGAGCGCUGAGCCCAGCUUACGGCCCCCAGCACAAGCCAGAAAGCAAACGGUGCAGCAGGCUGACGCCCGCCAGACCCUGCCGCUGGCCACGCCCACACCGCCGCAGGACGUCCAGCCAGGAUGGCACCCAGGGCCCCAGGCCUGAGCCAGGCUCCAGCCGCCCCCUCCCUACGCCGUCCUGCCUGGGCCCGGGGUGCCCAGCCCUCCUGAGCAGAGUCCAGGGGCUGUGGGCUCCGGGGCGGACACUUCCAGAGAUCCUCCAGGGCCCCACGUGGCUGCAGGCUGCCCGCAGUGGCAGCAGCGCGUGGGUCCAUGAUGCCGGCGCUGGAAUGAGCCCCUGUUUGUGCCAGGGAAGCUUUGCCCGUCCCUGACUCCCUGCCCCUGGGUGGAGCGAGCCUGCAGGGGAGGGCAGUGUGGGGACCCCCAGGGACAGCACAGGGCCCGGGGCCCGGGGGACAGGCAGCGCCCUUCUCCCCAAUGGAGCAGGAACCUCAGGACUGACAGUGAUGGGGGGCACGUGGGGCCCUUUGGAGGGUGGCCGCGGGGCACCUGCCCAGGGAGCUGGGAGGAGGGUGGGCUGGCACCCCCCUCCCCCAGGCCUCCAUUUCACGACUGUGGGUGGGUAGAGGGCGGGACAGGGUGACACACAGGACCCCAGGGGAAGCCGCCAUCCAGUCCUGCAUGGGCCCGGCCACUGAGCAAACGGCUGGGGAUGAGCAGUGUCCACUUGCUGCAGCCACGCGGGACAGGGUGGGCGAAGGGGCAGCGGGCCGACCUGGGGAGGGGCCGCCACCUCCAGGACCCUGCCUGGGAGCCGUGGUCCCUCCGUCCUCGCUCUGAGCCUCCCCGCCCAGGUCUGUCCGGGGGACGGGACCACGUGGCAGGAAGAGCUCCGGGAGUGACCAGGGCUCGGUGUUUGCCAGGAGAGGACCUCACUCAGUCACUCAGCAAGCGUGUGCUGCAGCCAGGAGCCCGGGCUGAGGCCCAGCAGGGGGCACCAGCCCCAGGCCCCCACCCCGGUCACCAAGUGGCAACGCCUUUGGCCUGGUGCAGGCCCUCACAGCCCCCACCUGGAUUCCUGCCUCUCCUACUUCCAGUAGUGCAUCCCCCCUCACCCCCAGGGUUAGAGCAAUUUCCUCAGAUUGAUAAAAACACCUGUCAGGGUGUGCAUACAACCAUUUACAGGUCUGUCUUUUCUCUGACAGUCUGAGGAGUAGGAGAGCCAGGGGACCAAUCAAAUCAGAAUUGGUGACUUAGGCCAGUCAUCUGCUUUCUGCCCCUGUGGACUUUUCAGGCUCUUGCAUUUUACGAAAAGGAAAUAAAGCUGUAACCAAAAUGAGGAUGAUGAGGAUG
rnacentral:lncRNA from 1 species